GUCUGCAUGCUAUUCGGCACUGGAAAAAACCCCGCAACUGACUUGUAAUCAGUAGGUCCCGGGUUCGACUCCUGGUGCCGGCACCA
rnacentral:tRNA from 1 species